CCCUUAGAUGUCCUGGGCCGCACGCGUGCUACACUGACGAAUUCAACGAGUUGCAUACCUUUGUCGAAAGGCAAUUUGGGUAAUCUUUGAAAUUUCGUCGUGCUGGGGAUAGAUUAUUGCAAUUGUUAAUCUUGAACGAGGAAUUCCUAGUAAGUGCGACUCAACAAGUCGCGUUGAUUACGUCCCUGCCCUUUGUACACACCGCCCGUCGCUCCUACCGAUGGAUGGUCAGGUGAGCUCCGCGGACGGAAACUCGUGAUGCCGAAAGGUUGAUGAGCAUUCUGGAAGUGGAGCAAACCUUAUUAUCUAGAGGAAGGAAAAGUCGUAACA
rnacentral:rRNA from 1 species